rnacentral:piRNA from 1 species
UGAGCUUAAUUCAGUUCCUGUUGUGCUUGG